GUGCUCACUUUGGCUGCACAUAUACUGACAUUGGAACAAGACAGAGAAGAUAAGCCUGGCCCCUGCACAAGGAUGACAUGCAAAUUUGUGAAGAAUUCCAUAUUAAA